CCAUGCCGCGUGAGUGAUGAAGGCCUUAGGGUUGUAAAGCUCUUUUACCCGGGAAGAUAAUGACGGUACCGGGAGAAUAAGCCCCGGCUAACUUCGUGC
rnacentral:rRNA from 1 species